AGUAGGACUAGCAUAACGAGGGGGGUAGCAACAGUGGUGAGUUCGUUGGAUGGCUUAAGCCCUGAGUACAGGGUAGUCGUCAGUGGUUCGACGCCUCGGAAAUAGAGGUCUCGAUAUGCCACGUGGACGAGGGCACGCCCAAAGCACAUCUUAACCUGAGCGGGGGGUCGCUCAGGUGAAAGCGGUUCAACCAACCGUUACGGAUACAGCCUGAUAGGGCGCUGCAGAGGCCCACUGUUUUGCUACUAAAAAUCUCUGCUUACAUGGCACAUGGAGUU
rnacentral:other from 15 species